UUAUGAUAAUAAUAGGCGAAUUAAUUAAUUUGAUUGUUCGUAUGCAGGUUGUGUCAGCAAAGACUGCUCUUUCUGAGGAGAUCAAAGCUGAGGAGCCAGUCAAGGCUGAAGAAACUAAAACAACUGAGGAGCCAGUCAAGGCUGAAGAAACUAAAACAGCUGAUGAGCCAGUCAAGACUGAAGAAACUAAAACAGAGGAGGUAGUUGCUUCAGCUUCUGCAGCACCUGUGGCACCAGAACCCGUUGCUGAAGAGCCACCAGCAGCAAAGGAAGCAGAACCUGUUGCUGUAACUGAAGAAGCUGCGGUGGUUACUCCAGAAGCUGAAGCCCCAGCUGAAGUUGAGACAAAGGAGGUGGUAGCCGAAGAUCAGCCAGCAGCAGCGGAGAAGACUACCGCAGAGAAAACUGAAGAAGUGGAAACUACUCCAACGGAGACACCAGAGCCAGCUGCUGAGAAAGAGGCCAAGGAAGAAGAGAAGAAGCCCGAGGCAGAAGUUGAAGCUGCAAAGGAGGAAGUGAAAGAUGAAGAGAAACCUGCAGUUGAGAAGCCAGCUGAAGCUGAGAAGAAAGCUGACACUGAUGGAGCCCCAGCUGAGAAGACUGAGUAAUAAGAUUGUAAGAACUAAUGUUGGCCAAUUUGCACGUCCAAGUUAAUUUAGUUCAGUGGUUUCAAAUAUUUUAGUAUUCUGUAACAAUAAGGGAUUUUGUUUGAGUCUUGGUAUCUGCAAACGACCCCACUUUUGGAUCUACCAUUAAUUGCAACUCCACAUAGCUGAUCAUCAUGACAUCCAUGAUCAGUGAAUU
rnacentral:lncRNA from 1 species